CAGCCGCCGCGGUAAUACGUAGGGUGCGAGCGUUAAUCGGAAUUACUGGGCGUAAAGCGUGCGCAGGCGGUUAUAUAAGACAGAUGUGAAAUCCCCGGGCUCAACCUGGGAACUGCAUUUGUGACUGUAUAGCUAGAGUACGGCAGAGGGGGAUGGAAUUCCGCGUGUAGCAGUGAAAUGCGUAGAUAUGCGGAGGAACACCGAUGGCGAAGGCAAUCCCCUGGGCCUGUACUGACGCUCAUGCACGAAAGCGUGGGGAGCAAACAGGAUUAGAUACCCCAGUAGUCCCUGUCUCUUAUAC
rnacentral:rRNA from 1 species